rnacentral:rRNA from 1 species
GACGAACGCUGGCGGCGUGCUUAACACAUGCAAGUCGAACGGAAAGGCCCUGCUUUUGUGGGGUGCUCGAGUGGCGAACGGGUGAGUAACACGUGAGUAACCUGCCCUUGACUUUGGGAUAACUUCAGGAAACUGGGGCUAAUACCGGAUAGGAGCUCCUGCUGCAUGGUGGGGGUUGGAAAGUUUCGGCGGUUGGGGAUGGACUCGCGGUUUAUCAGCUUGUUGGUGGGGUAGUGGCUUACCAAGGCUUUGACGGGUAGCCGGCCUGAGAGGGUGACCGGCCACAUUGGACCUGGGAUACGGCCCAGACUCCUACGGGAGGCAGCAGUGGGAAUAUUGCACAAUGGGCGGAAGCCUGAUGCAGCAACGCCGCGUGCGGGAUGACGGCCUUCGGGUUGUAAACCGCUUUCGCCUGUGACAAAGCGUGAGUGACGGUAAUGGGUAAAGAAGCACCGGCUAACUACGUG